rnacentral:rRNA from 1 species
AUUGAACGCUGGCGGCAGGCCUAACACAUGCAAGUCGAGCGGAUGAAGGGAGCUUGCUCCUGGAUUCAGCGGCGGACGGGUGAGUAAUGCCUAGGAAUCUGCCUGGUAGUGGGGGAUAACGUCCGGAAACGGGCGCUAAUACCGCAUACGUCCUGAGGGAGAAAGUGGGGGAUCUUCGGACCUCACGCUAUCAGAUGAGCCUAGGUCGGAUUAGCUAGUUGGUGGGGUAAAGGCCUACCAAGGCGACGAUCCGUAACUGGUCUGAGAGGAUGAUCAGUCACACUGGAACUGAGACACGGUCCAGACUCCUACGGGAGGCAGCAGUGGGGAAUAUUGGACAAUGGGCGAAAGCCUGAUCCAGCCAUGCCGCGUGUGUGAAGAAGGUCUUCGGAUCGUAAAGCACUUUAAGUUGGGAGGAAGGGCAGUAAGUUAAUACCUUGCUGUUUUGACGUUACCAACAGAAUAAGCACCGGCUAACUUCG